CUGAUUCGGUAUUUCGUUAUGUUGACCAUUCUCAAGACUGAAAAAAGAAACAGAAAAGGAAAAAAAGAGAGAGAUCUAGAACGGUCUCUUUACCGACAAAAGAUGAGACGAAGAAAAAUCGGUGUUCGAUGGUGAAAAACAAAGGUGUACGACUCUAUAUGAGUAAAUACGAAAUCAGAAUCUCGAAAUCUGCCGGUAUACCAUCGUUUACUCUCUCAUUAUCUUACGAUUCAUCUACUUGAUCUGAGAAGCCUCUUUAUAGAUAUGUUCAGAAGUAUCAGAUGACUUGUAUGUUGAUUCUGAUGAUCGAUCUUAGUCAAGCGGAUCUUCGAUUAGCACUGAAUUUGACCAUUCCCUAUUGGGGUCGGAAACACCUAAGCAAUCUCGAGCUUCUCAGAUGUCAAGCUCGUGAUGUCCAUCGGCUUGCUCAAAAUCUGAAGGGCGAUGUUCAUUUCUUUGACAACCAUGAAGGGUAAUUGCUAUGUAAACAAAGAGAUAAUUCUCAUGUACAUCAACUAAUGGCCAGACCAUUCUGUAAUCUGACCAAACUGUAUGUUGUUUUUAUACUCAUCCUCUGAUGGAAGGACAUGAGUCAAGUCGAACCCAAAGGACAUGAGGCAAAGUCCAACCAAAGCCUUACAGUACACAGAUAAGUCUCCGACUAUAGCUUUUUUUUUGGGUUAGAGAUAAUGAGUUGACUUAAUUAUAUACUAGAUUUUGACCCGCGCUUUAAAAGCGCGGGAUUGGUUCCUUUUGUAAUUUUCUAUAAAUAUUUGUUAGUUAUAAGAUUAAAUAAUUUUUAUAUAACAAAUCUUAUCUUAUUCACAAUUGUGUUGUUUGUACAUUCAUAUGUGUUAGACAUAAAUACAUAAUAUAAAUAGUUGCAUAUUUAUACCCAUAUAAAUUAGUUUUUAAGAGUUUAAUAAUAUAAAUUUUAUUAUGUAGUAACUUUUACAUAAUUUAUUUGUUAUUAAAAAAAAUUAUUAUAUAUAUUUUUUAAAAAUCCCUAAAUCUAAUACGCAAUCCUUAAUCAUAUAAAAACUGGUAUCAAUUGAGAUUAGGGCUGAGCAAAUAAACUGAACCCGAAAAUCUGAACUGAACCCGAUCCGACAAAAAUGAAUCCGAACCGAUCCGAACCCGGCAUAAAUACCGAAUGGAUCUUGUUUUAUGGUAUUUCGGGUUAUGAGUAUUAUCCGAACGAACCCGAAAUUAAAUAGAUAUCCAAUAGAACCCGAAACAUUCAAAAUGCCAAAAUAGAACUUGUACCAAACAUGAUCUCAAUUCCUGAUAUGUAGCCAAAAUAUACUAAGAUAUUAUUAAACAUCUACAAUAACGAUCUACUAUAUGAAGGUUGAUGGUUGAAAGUGGCGGUUGAGGCUUGAAAUUUUUAGAUUUUGGUUUUAUUUUCAUUGAAUAAUUUUUUUUAUUUCAUGAGAACUUAAUUUUUCGUUUUAUGAUUUCAUUUAUAAGUUUUCUUUCUAUCAAUAACAAUGUUUACCUUUCGUUUGACUUUGAAUAAUUAUGUUUGAUGUUUUUUCUUAUUUUUGAAUCGAUUUUACUUAUGUUUUGGUUAUAAAAUAGAUACAAAUCAAGUACUUUAAACUCGAAGAACCGAUUUUACUUAUGUUUUGGUUACAAAAUAGGUAUAAAUAAAGUACUUUAAAACCGAAGAACCGGUUGGAACCCAAAACCCGAAAGUACACCGGGUUGUACCGGUUCUUUGAAGAUUUACUAAUCCCGAUUCGAACCUGAUAAAACCUAAACCGGUCCUGAACAGAACUUUUAUAUAAUCCGAAUGUAGCUGAUUUUGAUAAACCCGAAAAACUGAGACCCGAUUGAACAAAACCGAAACCCGAUUGGGACCCCGAAUGCCGAUGCCUAAUUGAGAUUAUGGAAUGUGACGUGAGUACUUACCAACAUAUUAACAGCCAUUGGGUAAUUUUUUGUGUGUGUUAUGGUUUGUCAAUAAAACGUUUGGUGAGACCAGUAAAAAUAGGGUAUUCAGUUUUAGGAAAACACAUGCAUCAUAUAUAAUCGUAACUUUCUAGAUUUUGUAUUUCAAAAUAUAGUUAGUAUUGUUAUUUUCCAUAUAUAGUGGAUACUAAAGUAUCUUUAAAAUAUUUGAUUAAUCAUAAAAAAAUCUGAUUGGUUGUAUUUAUUGUUGCAGAAAUUUAUUUAAAAUAAUAAAAAAUGACAAUGGCAUUGAAAUGUAAA